GCAUUUAUCUGUUGGUGUUGUUGGGUUGAUCUAUGUUGUGUUUUCUUUAUAUGAUGUUCUUUCUCAUCUUUUGAUAUAUAUGACUUCAGUAAGAGAUGGGAUAGACGAGUUUUGAUGAUCAAUUACUUGUUGUAGGAUGCUGUGAAGAGAAACGAUGUAGGAAUAUUAUGAUGCAAGGAUUAUGGAAAAGUGAAAGACGGAGGGGAAUACACUUUGAAACACUGCAAGUGCCAUAACUUACUAGAGUACCUUUUGAAGGUUUAGGGACAAACCUGAAAGUUAAGCUUUUAGAUUUUUCUUGGUGCUAGUUUUAUUCUUAUGUUGGGUGAAAGACGGAGGGGAAUACACUUUGAAACACUGCAAGUGCCAUAACUUACUAGAGUACCUUUUGAAGGUUUAGGGACAAACCUGAAAGUUAAGCUUUUAGAUUUUUCUUGGUGCUAGUUUUAUUCUUAUGUUGGAUUUCGUAUGCUAUUUGCUUGACUUUAAAGGAUUGACAUACUUGCAAAUAAUAAUCAUGAGGAGUAUAAUUAUAUCCAUACAAUCAUGAGGAUUUCAUAUGUCGUUUUCAUGUCUAUGGAAGAUCCAAACAUAGAUAUAACAAAUGUGAGUUAUCAAUCUCUUAAGUUUGCUAGUAAUCUUGUAUCUUUGCUUGUUGGGAUCAAUUAUGAUACUAUGAUUGUUUCCUUUCUUCCUCUGUAGCUACUAUGUACUAAUGUUAUUAUAUGAGAACUGUCCCUUGAGCUGUAAGCAGUUAUACUUUUAAAUAAAUGAAUUUUUAGCUACCGGCCGCCUCCCAUCCUCAUUAUGAUCUUAUAGUCGUAACUUUGUUAUUUUUGUUGUUAGUCC
rnacentral:lncRNA from 1 species